GGCCGGUUUUGUAAGAGAUUUCGUAAGGGUUUCAUAACCCGCACCGCUGCCAGGGACGCGGCAGCUGGCACCGACUGACUCCCGGCUCAUCCGCGGCAUGAACCGGCCUGAUUUACGGCCGUAAUAACGGAGUGGGCACGGCUCCAAACAGACCCACAUGCGUUUCUUGGCGCGCCGUCAAGCGCUUCCUUCUAAAAUUCCCGACAAUAUUGGAAAGUGCCGUGAGUUCAGUGAAAACGGGGCUUUGGUCAAACAGCCGGGUAGCGUUUCAUGCACACAAAGUGACCUCUGUGCACUCGUAACCGCACAGAAAUAGCCUCAGUGGAAAAGCAGGAGAGGGAAACUUCCCAGAAACAGGUUCUGUCACACCGUGCCAUCGCUGGCGCCCCUCUGCCGUGCCAGAAAUCCCAGUCCUGUGCCAGGCCUCACAGGCAGUGAACAUCCCCUGUGCAUCCCCAACAUCAAAUCCAGCAGCUCUGGUACAGAGAAGCUACUAUUUAAUGCUAAAUGCCAGGUUCAGCCAGCAGCAAAUACUUAAAUGAGAGCUGUUAAGAGAAUAAUUUUUUGCUGGGCAUACCUGUCUUGAUUGUAUUUUCCCUGACUCUUUGACCUCAUGGACUGUUCCUGAGCAUGGUUAACACGCUGCUGAUCUGCCAGAGUGGACAGAGUCAUUGCUGGAAGAUUGUGAGGCAGCUCUAAAUCCAUUGUAGUCUGAAUAGCCACCGAGCGAUUUUUGCAACUGGUAUUGGUUACCACAGCUACAAUUACACUGCACAGCUCUCUGGGAUGUGAUUUCAAUAAAGCCAGUCCAGUGUCUCAGGUAACAGAGAUGUCCAAACCCAAAAACCUGAGAACAAUUCAGAGUGCAAAUGUCCUGCUGUACACCUGUGCACUCACUGGUACUUUAUGUGAACAGUGAGGAAAGCCAAGGACAUCAUUCACAGGAAGAGGAAGCUCUCACCAGGAGGUGAGGGAUAUCUUAAAAAAAUUUAAAGCUGUCUUUGGCUGGAAAAAGAAUCACCACUUCAUCUUGACCAUGGAUUUGCUUUUUCUUGGAGAAGCCCUGAAAGGCAGAGUUGCAGUCAGAAGUGGAACAGGUGAUAUAGAGGGUGGUAAAUCUCCCAUCAGAUCCUACCUUGGAUCUCCCAUGGUACCCAGAGAGGGAAUGGCACACCCCAGAGAGCCCCUCUGCAAACUUAAAGGAUAUUUGGAUGGAGUGUCACAGGAUCAAUAAGCAAAAUCAUUUAAUAUUCCACUCACAUUUGAAGUCAUUCUUAAUGACUGAAAAACAACAAAUUAGUGAUAAGAUCUUUAGAAACCUGUGGCCACCUGAUGUGGAAGGACAGCUUGGGAUUUGAACUGCUGAUUGGUGAUACUGCUACACUGCUGCUACAGCUGCACAGUUUUAGCUGACUGGGGCCAAGAGCAUCAAGGGGAGACUGAGAUUUUGUUACCUGCUAUUUAAUAUCUCUCCCUUCCCCAAAUACCCCUGCACACCUUGAAGAACCCUGCCCAAAUCCCACCAAUAUCCUGCCCCCUCCCCCCUAUAAAUUCAAACCCAGACAUUAUCUUUGCUUCACAAUGCAAAGUUUAAGUUAGGGAAUAUUAAAAAUGUGCAUCUUUAAUAGAAUUAUCUGGGACAAACAUUUGAUUUUCAGAUCCUUUUUAUUUUAUUCUUCUGCCAUAAAAUGUGCCAAGAGGCUUAGAGCUGCACACCUUCAGAGUGCUGUUGCCUCAUAUACCUUCCUUACCCAGCAUGUGAUACAUCUCCUGCAGUUGGGAAACACUCUGUCUAACACUGCCUACACUAACCAGGCUCUGGCACUGUUUAUAUAAUUUGAAUGCAAAUAAUUAUUUUUUCUUAUCAGCUUCCUCCCCCACCUGACAACAUCCAAAAUGUAAACGCCCUGCGCACAGGAUCCCACCCAGCUGGCCUGAGCUACUUCUGACACUCACUCUUCCACCUGCCCUCUGGGCUCCUUUGUUUUAACACACUCAAAUUACCACAGAGAAAUGAUUUACCACCUUACACAGCUGUGCUUGGCUUGAUGUUUGGCAGCAGAGGUCUUAAACAGGUAACAGCCCUUAAAUGGCUUUUGGCAAGGAGUGGUCUGGUUUCAAUUUAAAAACUGACUCAGAAUUUGUAAUAAGGUAGGUGCUGUUUGACUCAUUUUAACUUUUUAAUUUCAGUUGUGCAGUUUCCUUGACUUGCAGAGUUCAGGCAGUUGGAUUAUGGCUCUACAAACAUCUUGUCUGUGUCAGGAGUGGGAGCAGCAGCUGCCACCAGGUGUUAGACUGAGUGCAGGUUCACGGUGGUGCACGGCUCGUGGAUGAAGGGGACUGUGCUGUUGUCUGGGAAACAGUCUCUGAAUCUCUGAGAAUGUGACAGAUCCCAGCCAGAUAAUGUUUGCUCUUGCAAGCAUCACAAAUGUGCAUGUGAUCAAGUAGGCAGAUGAUAAUCACAUGUUAUCACCCACAACUCAUGAGCAAGCACAGUAACAGCACAAUUAAAGACAAAACCACAAAUUUUAAAGUACUUUGAAAAUGCUGAUGAUUUUGUGUUGUUUGGAGAUAAUCAUGUUUCUUCCCCAGUGAUCCUUGUGUAUUUCAAAAGAUGACAACAGUUCUUAUAAAAACAUUCUCAAACAUAUGUUGGUGCAACUUUCAGUGCAAAGCCUGAAGAACCAGUGACGACAGGUCAUGGUCAGAUUUAUGUAUUAAACCACAAACAUAACUCAUGGUCUUCAGACCUUGCUCCCGUGUCCAAAAUUUAUAUCAAACUCUUUGUUUCAGAAAUUUUGUGCUCCAUCAGCUAUCUUUGGGCAUGGUUUAAAGAAAUCACAACCUGGAAAUAAAAGCUGUCACUUUGUCAUACACAAAGUACCGCAUGGAAGUGGCCACUUUGCCAUCAGUGCUGACAUCUCACUGUCACCAAGACAAUGAUUGGAUCAAUUAUCAACCAAACAGUCUUGAGGCACGUGGGCUUUCAUGUGCCCACGGCUAACCACAGAGCUCUGCUGAAGGAAAGCCAUUAAAUCAUUAUUCUUCAAAGUUUUGUGGGCCAGAGAACAGGUGGAUCCUAGAUUUAGGAGUAUUUCUGCUGUCCUUAGUGCUGGGAUUGUAUUUGUUAUGCAGGGGGAGGAUCCAGUCUCUGCAACUGAGAGCACAAGACCUCCUCUGUGACUCCAGUCCUUGGAUCUUUAACAGGAGCAGCAGCUUAAGGCUCAGUCCCAGCCUCUCCUCUGUGCCUGACAGUGGGAAUUCGCAACCCAAAA